rnacentral:tRNA from 1 species
AAGAUACUAGUAUAGAAGAAAUACACUGCUUUGUCAAGGCAGAAUCGUAGGUUGAAUCCCUGCGUAUCUUA